ensembl:lncRNA
CAUGCGUCGUAAACAGCAGGUGUAGACUAACAGGGAAAAUCUUACUUUACGGGCCCUUCCCAGCAAUGCAGAGAGAGAAAGAAUAGAAAAAGAAUAACACAAGGAAUAAAAUACACAUUGAAUAACGAUAACUUGGCUAUAUACACGGAGUAACAGUACCUAGUCGGUGUGCAGAGGUACGGGGUAAUUGAGGUCGAUUGCUGUCAUCUUGCCGUUUUCCUGCUUCACCUCAUCGAGCUGACCCUGGGAGAACUGCAAACUGUUCUUCAAGUCCUGGACCUCUCUGGUCAGGUCGUUUAUUAGUUGAAUCGACCAGUAUUUGGACAAAACACUUGAAGCUAUUUUCUUGUUGUUCUAAUAACUGCGUGUUGAACUCUUUUUGUUUGUUUAAAGAAGUUCACCUGUGAUAGAGAGACUCCACUGUCCUCAACGGUACUACCGCCGGCUUUUAUCUUUGUCAUGGUAGCUAGCAACGUAGUUUACGCUGUUACUCCUCGCAGUUCCAGACAGUGCAGGUCAUAGGGAAGAUUGAACACAAUAAACAGCAGGGAUCUAGACAGCCACAAACCCGGAACAAUCCGCGGUCCCAGACACAAUGGCUAACCUUGUCGCAGGCUGACCAAUCGGAAUCCACGCUUCAAGAUUGUUUUGAUCACGCGGACUGGGAUAUGUUCCGGGUAGCCUCCAAGAAUAAUAUUGACACAUAUAUUGAUAUGGUGACUGAGUUUAUUAGGAAAUGUAUAUGAGAUGUUGUACUCACUGUGACUAUUUAAAACCUACCCAAAUCAGAAACCGUGGAUAGAUGAAAGCGUGAACCAUCGCAUUUAACCAUGUGUUACGGAUACAAGUAUUCUGUGUGUGUAUCCUGUGUGUGUUUCUUUUCUCUCCUUCUCCCCUCACAGGUGAAAAUCAUCACUCCCCAAUCAGACAACAAUCAAUCAUCAAUCAGAAGACACACCUCCUCCUAUUUCCUACCCUAUCACAGUUCCUUUCCCUUGGUUUAAUUAAAAACCCCAUCAUUUGUUUGCUCUAGAGCUCAAUCUCUCUGUAAAUGCCAUGUCUGUAGGUCUCUGUGUUUCACUCUCGCUUUGUGUCUUAACCUCUCUUUUGUUUGAGCACCUCCAUAGCACUUUGUCAUCACCUGUGAGUAUUGUUUUUGGUUAUGGUGUUUGUUUGUGCUGGUGGGAAAAGGGGGAAACCAAGACAAGUCGCCCAUGGGCAUACACUACCCGUAGGUGAACUUUGUUAAAUACACUAGUUAGAACUGGGCGGACCACCCACUGUAUUUUUGGUUAGUUAGUUAGCUGUUGUUAAAGUAGGCUAGUCUAGCUUAGAAGUGUUUUUGUAUAUUGUUUCUUUCCUUGGG